GACGAACGCUGGCGGCGUGCUUAACACAUGCAAGUCGAACGGACUCCAUUCAGUAGCAAUACUGAGGAAGAGUUAGUGGCGAACGGGUGAGUAACACGUGAGAAACCCAUCCUGGUCUCUGGGAUAACAGUCGGAAACAACUGCUAAUACCGGAUGCCGUCGGAGCGUCGCAUGGCGCGCUGACGAAAGGGUUACUGGAUCAGGAGGGUCUCGCGGCCUAUCAGCUAGUUGGUGGGGUAAAGGCCUACCAAGGCAUCGACGGGUAGCUGGUCUGAGAGGAUGAUCAGCCACACUGGGACUGAGACACGGCCCAGACUCCUACGGGAGGCAGCAGUGGGGAAUCUUGCACAAUGGGCGAAAGCCUGACGCAGCAACGCCGCGUGCGGGAAGAAGGCCUUCGGGUUGUAAACCGCUUUCAGAAGGAACGAAACUGACGGUACUUUCAGAAGAAGGUGCGGCCAACUACGUGCCAGCCGCCGCCGUAAUAC
rnacentral:rRNA from 1 species